UACCAGCACCCCGAGUGGUCGGGACGAUUAUUGGGCCUAAAGCAUCCGUAGCCGGUUUUACAAGUCCUCCGUUAAAUCCAGCUGCUUAACAGAUGGGCUGCGGAGGAUACUAUAAGACUAGGAGGCAGGAGAGGCAAGCGGUACUCAGUGGGUAGGGGUAAAAAUCCGUUGAUCCAUUGAAGACCACCAGUGGCGAAGGCGGCUUGCCAGAAUGCGCUCGACGGUGAGGGAUGAAAGCUGGGGGGAGCAAACCGG
rnacentral:rRNA from 1 species